rnacentral:rRNA from 1 species
UAGGGAAUCUUCCGCAAUGGACGCAAGUCUGACGGAGCAACGCCGCGUGAGUGAAGAAGGAUUUCGGUUCGUAAAACUCUGUUGUUAGAGAAGAACAGCGCAUAGAGUAACUGUUAUGCGUGUGACGGUAUCUAACCAGAAAGCCACGGCUAACUACGUGCCAGCAGCCGCGGUAAUACGUAGGUGGCAAGCGUUGUCCGGAUUUAUUGGGCGUAAAGCGAGCGCAGGCGGUCAAUUAAGUCUGAUGUGAAAGCCCCCGGCUCAACCGGGGAAGGUCAUUGGAAACUGGUUGACUUGAGUGUAGAAGAGGAGAGUAGAAUUCGAUGUGUAGCGGUGAAAUGCGUAGAUAUAUGGAGGAACACCAGUGGCGAAGGCGACUCACUGGUAUGUAACUGACGCUGAGGCUCGAAAGCGUGGGUAGCAAACAGG